CACGGAAUUAGCCGGUCCUUAUUCAUGCGGUACCUGCAAAAACCCACACGUGAGUCCCUUUAUCCCCGCAUAAAAGCAGUUUACAACCCAUAGGGCCGUCAUCCUGCACGCUACUUGGCUGGUUCAGGCUUCCGCCCAUUGACCAAUAUUCCUCACUGCUGCCUCCCGUAGGAGUCUGGACCGUGUCUCAGUUCCAGUGUGGGGGACCUUCCUCUCAGAACCCCUACCGAUCGUUGCCACGGUGGGCCGUUACCCCGCCGUCAAGCUAAUCGGACGCAUCCCCAUCCCUCACCGCUAAGCCUUUCGUCCAAAUCGGAUGCCGUCAAUGGACAACAUACGGUAUUAGUCCGACUUUCGCCGGGUUAUCCCGUGGUGAAGGGCAGGUUGGAUACGCGUUACUCACCCGUGCGCCGGUCGCCAUCAGGGAUUGCAAGCAACCCCAUGCUGCCCCGCGACUUGCAUGUGUUAAGCCUGUAGCUAGCGUUCAUCCUGAGCCAGGAUCAAACUCU
rnacentral:rRNA from 1 species